rnacentral:rRNA from 1 species
UACGUAGGGUGCAAGCGUUGUCCGGAAUUAUUGGGCGUAAAGAGCUCGUAGGCGGUCUGUCACGUCGGCUGUGAAAUCCCGAGGCUCAACCUCGGGUCUGCAGUCGAUACGGGCAAACUAGAGUAUUGCAGGGGAGACUGGAAUUCCUGGUGUAGCGGUGAAAUGCGCAGAUAUCAGGAGGAACACCGGUGGCGAAGGCGGGUCUCUGGGCAAUAACUGACGCUGAGGAGCGAAAGCGUGGGAGAAGCGAACAGGAUUACGA